CGCGUAGGCGGGCCUUCAAGUCGGGUGUGAAAACUGGCAGCUUAACUGCCAGCCUGCAUUCGAAACUGUUGGUCUUGAGUACAGGAGAGGAAAGCGGAAUUCCAGGUGUAGCGGUGGAAUGCGUAGAUAUCUGGAAGAACACCAGUAGCGAAGGCGGCUUUCUGGCCUGAUACUGACGCUCAAGCGCGAAGGCUAGGGGAGCAAACA
rnacentral:rRNA from 1 species